rnacentral:rRNA from 1 species
GCCUACGGCCACACCACCCUGAAAGCGCCUGAUUUCAAGAAGCCGCAAAGUGCCAUUUUUUUAAAGUUUUCAACGAAACGAUCCUGGCCCGGGCCUGUUUAGUACCUGGAUGGGAGACCGCCUGGGAAUACCAGGUGUCGUAGGCU